UUUAGAGCUAUUUUUCUUAGGAAAAAAUUGUUAUUUUUUAAAAAAUAAGAUAUAAAAUAAGUGAAAUAAAUGUAUUUAAAUAAUUUGUAUUUAUAUUAUUGAUUUAUUAUUCAUUAAAUGCUAAGAUGUUGUUGGCUUAAUUUUAUGUCAUGAGAUUUUUGUACACAGCCUGAAUCUCUGUCAAGAAACAUAACCUUACAAAAUUAAAAUUGUUUGUAUUAUAAUAAAAUUCCG